rnacentral:sRNA from 1 species
GCCGAUGCUGCUGCCGCUGCUGCUGCUGCUGCUGCUGCUGCUGCUGCUGCUGCCGAGGAUGAUGAGACGGCGUCGCCACUCCAAGUAGAGCGUUGGAAGCAGGCGGCAGCAGCAGCAGAAGCUGCAGCGUCAAC